rnacentral:rRNA from 1 species
UACGGAGGGGGCGAGCGUUAUUCGGAAUUAUUGGGCGUAAAGGGCGCGUAGGCGGCUUGGCAAGUCAAAGGUGAAAUCCCUCGGCUCAACUGAGGAACUGCCUUUGAAACUGCCUGGCUUGAGGCCGGGAGGGGGUAGCGGAAUUCCCAGUGUAGCGGUGAAAUGCGCAGAUAUCAGGAGGAACACCGGUGGCGAAGGCGGUUCUCUGGGCCUGUACUGACGCUGGAGGAACGAAAGCGUGGGGAGCGAACAGG